GUAAAUUCUAGUGACUUUAUUAAAAGACGUUGAAAAAUCGCGACAGACAUCUAUUAUAUCAAACUUGUAUAGAUUUCGUUCCAGAAAUCCGUUUACGUCAUCACAUGUUAUCAUUGUAUUGUCAUUGUGAUGUCAAAUAAUGUGACUUUUUUUAUAAUGUUUUGAAAAAUAAGACUUCAUCAUAAUGCAGUCUUUUAAAGCUGGUUUACACUCUCAAAGUUUCUGUGAUCACAGUAGGAAUUUUGCAUGGGUAAAUUCUACGUUUUGAAGGAGAUGUAAGAAAUGUCUGAGGAAACUGGCUUAAUGAUCAUAGACACAUUGAUAGUGUAAACCAACUUUUAAGAAUGGUUUGAUAGUAAAUCAAAUUUGAUAUCAAAUGCAUGGAGUUUUUAAAUUAUAGAUUUUUUGACAUAGCUCCUUGGAAGAGCAUUCUUAUGAAAGGACACCAGGUUACAUUAUGUAUUUUUCUUUCAAUAUAAAGCUUGAU